CACAGCCGCGGUAAUACAGAGGGUGCGAGCGUUAAUCGGAUUUACUGGGCGUAAAGCGUGCGUAGGCGGCUUCUUAAGUCGGAUGUGAAAUCCCUGAGCUUAACUUAGGAAUUGCAUUCGAUACUGGGAAGCUAGAGUAUGGGAGAGGAUGGUAGAAUUCCAGGUGUAGCGGUGAAAUGCGUAGAGAUCUGGAGGAAUACCGAUGGCGAAGGCAGCCAUCUGGCCUAAUACUGACGCUGAGGUACGAAAGCAUGGGGAGCAAACAGGAUUAGAUACCCCUGUAGUCCCUGUCUCUUAUACA
rnacentral:rRNA from 1 species